rnacentral:lncRNA from 10 species
AAAGAGAUGGCUAAUUAUUCUUGUGAGUGUUGAGGGUGUUAUGUCUCCCCAAAAUUCUGAUGUUGAAAUCCUAACCCCCAGUGUGAUGGUAUUUGGAGACAGGGCCUUGGGAGAUAAUUUGUGUUAGAUGAGAUCAUAAGGAUGGGGCUCCCAUAAAGGGAUGAAUGCCCUUGUAAGAAGAGACGCUGUAGGAUGUGCUCUCCCUCUUUUUCUUUCUAACAUGAGGACACAGCAAGAAGGUGGCUGUCUACAAGACAGGAAAAGAGCCCUCACCAGGAACUGAUUCUGCCAGUGCCUUGAUCUUCAACAUCCCAGCCUCUGGAACUGUAAUAUGUGCAUGUGGGGAAAAAAAAGUUAAAGGCACAAGAGAAUAAAUGGUAAAAGUUGAAUCUCUCACCCUCAAGUCUCCCAGUUCCUUUCUCCAGAGUUAACUCCUGUGAACUUUUUUUGAAAAUCAUCCCAGACAUAUUUGAUGACAGCUGAACAGCUAUUACAGCACAGCCCAGCAGAAAGAAAAUGCAAUCCACGAAAAUGCAAUCCACGUAAGCAAGUGAAAAUUUUCUAGUAGCUAUAUUUUAAAAGUAAAAAGAAACAAGUAAAAUUAAAUGUAAUAUUUUAUUUUAUUUAAACUAAUAGAGGCAAGAUGUUAUCUUGAAAUGUAAGCAAGACCAAAAUAUUAAUGAGAUAUUUUACAUUCUUUUUCUCUACUAAGAUUUUGAAAUCCUACAUGUAGUUUAUACUCAGAGUACAUCUCAAUUCAGACCAGCCACAUUUCAAUGUAAAAAGUGGUCACUGUAGUAGACAGCAUGGUUCUAUAAAGUUCUAUAAAGUAUAAGAAUCUUUAAAAAGAAAAAAAGUACAAAGAAUCUCUUUAAAAAUCCUUUCAUACAAAAUACAUUGUUCUUCAUGUUCUUACUGUUCCAAACAUUGUUAGAGUCAUAUACCUAUAAGUUCACAUAUUAUAAAAAGAUAGAAAAUACAGAGAAAAAGUUUUAAUCACCUAUAGUCCUGUUUUAGUACAAAGCUAGUUCUGAACCUCAAGGAAUAAGUAUAUAAUAUAAAUACAUUUCAGUCAAAAACGCAUAGGUCUUUAGUAAGUUGUGUACACUAAACAUGCACAGCAUUUGUAUGUUAAUUAGACCUCAAUAAAGUGGUUGGUUUUUUUUCUUUAAAAAAAUGAAAUAAUUAAAACCACCAUUUCCCAAGCAAAAGCAAACAACCCCAAAACUCCUAAGUCUAAGAAUGCUGCCCAAGAUAUCAUUCAGUUAAAAUUAUUAUUGUGAAGUAAGGGACUUCACUAACCAAUAAUACAUGUGUAUAUUUUUGUUUGAAAUGUGAAAUCAAUCUCUCUCUCUCUCUCUCUCUCUCUCUCUCUCUCUCUCUCUCUCUCUUUCUCUCUUUCUCUCUCUCUUCUCUUGCAAAGAGAGGGCCAAUGGCGGGUAUCGUCAACAGCUGUUUUGGGGUUUGGAUUUAUUGUUUUAUUCUGCUUGGGGUGGGGGCCCUGUAGUACAUUUGACUGAACAAACAGCACGCCUUGCUUUGAAACAAGGGUGAGCAGGCUUAUUCUUUGCCUGGAGCCAGUUUGUGCCUUCAUACAGCUGUGUUUGGAUAUGUAGAUAUGGUACAGAAAUUUGGAAAAUUACCACGUGAAAUUAUUGUUUAUCUUUUCUUCUCAGGGGAACAAAGUUUUGAAUAAGCUUUUCAUUGACGAAUAAAAAUCUCAGUGUCUAGUUAACUACAAAGUAUGCAAUAUAAAAUCAUGUGAUUCUGUGCCAUGGAAAGAACACCAGGCCUGGAUUCAGGAAUGUUCCGUGUCAGUCCUCACUCUCACCUGGGGCAAACUUCUAGUGGGACCUCUAGGAGCCCACUCAGCCGGCUGGGCCCCAUCUCCCUGUUCCCUGGAUUAGGAGGCGGGACCAGGGAUUUGUAUAACAAUCCUACAAUUCUUCUUGCCAUAGAUCCGUGCAAUGUUUUCAAAACUUUCCUUUCAAAAUAAUGAUUCUAAAUCCUAGUUACAAGAAAAUGUGUUAUUCACAAAAGUACUAUUGGAUAAAAUUUUUCUAACAUCUCCUUAUGGUUUACAGCAGGUAUUGGCAAACUGCAGCCUCCAGAGCUAACUGUUUCUGUAUGGCCGUUGAGCUAAUAAUAGUUUUUAUAUUUUUAAAUGGUUGGAAAAAAUCGGAAGAAGAAGAUGUCAUGACACAUGAAAAUUAUAUGAAAUUCUAAUGUUAGUGUCAAUAAAGUUUUACUGAAAGCCAGCUACACUUAUUCAUCGAUGUAUUAACAGUACUGAGUGGUUGCAACAGAGACUAAAAUAUUUACCGUGUGACCCUGUACAGAAAAAGUUUGUUGCCUCUUGAUUUACAGUGUUUGAAAACAAAUGGUAAUCUGCAGAAAGAAUAGGUAACUUAUAGUAAGGCACUUAGAAUAUGACAGGUACUGUACUAAGUGAUGUGGGUGAUUUUUAAAAAUAUGACCAUCUUAUGAAGUAGGUAGGAGUAUCAGCCCCAAUUUCGUGCAUGAGGAAAUUCAGGCUUGCCCAUGUCAGGUACCCUCAGGCUUGCCACAUUGCAAAAAAGUGGCAGAACCUGAAUUUCACUCCAGGUCAAGCUGCAGAGCCCUUGUCUUCUACCUCUGCUCCAGACCAUGGACCUUCCUCCACCUUUCACUCAAAAGACAGAGCUGUUUUGGCAAUGCAGAAAGGACCAAUCUGCUUCGGAACUCCCUGCCAACAAAAGUAUUGGUGUCUUUAGGACUAUUAAAAAGAACUUAAAAUGAUAUAUUUCACAUAAAUCCAUCCAUCUACAGAAUGUGUAACAACGCAAAAGAAGAAAGUUAAAGUUGUAUCUUCAAAAUGCAUUGCAAUAUUUCAGAAGCUGAGUGUCCUACUCAGUGUUACCAAAGUGCCAACUAAUGGGCUGCUACCAUUCCUGAUCAAAUUGUCACUGAUACAAAGUAAAAUAAUAAAAAGAAUAAAGACAGUGUACUUAGUUUUUCAUGGAACUAACUAUUCAGCUUAAAGAUAGUCCUGUAUUGUGAGAUUAUAUCCUUUCAAAUUUUUGGUGUAAAAUAUAGUCUCCAUUAUGAAUAAUCAUGCCAUACCUCAGGCUUUUUUCUUUAGUGUACUUGCUUGACAAAAGUAAAGCAUAAACAACACUAUUUUGGGCCUUUAUUUGUUUUAUUUUAUUUGGAAAUGUCUUGGUCUGUGGAAUCCUAAAGUCUGGGAACCUCUGGUUUGAAUGUCUUUUGACCCAGUAAUUCAAUUUCUAGGAAAUUAUCCUCUGGAAAUAAUAUGUGGCAUAAAAAACAAUCUAUAAGCAAAAACAUACACUGCACCAUUAUUUGCAAACAGCAAAAUUUCAAAAUAAGAUUGUGCAAUCCUCAAAUUAUGAUAUAGUCAUGUAAUAAAAUAACAUGUGGCCAUUACAAGUCUUUUGUGUAAUGUAUCUAGUGCCAUGGAAAAUGCUCACAAUAUAAUGCUAAGGGGUUAAAAAAAGCAACACAAUUCUAUGAUAAAAUAUGAUUGCAACUAUGAAAAUUAAAUGUAUAAUCAUAAUAUCUUAUUAAAUGUCUAAAUGUAGGCACAGUUACGGUUUUUUUUUUCAGAUCAAGAAUGUUUUUUUCAACUUCUUUUCCAAUCAGUCUGGGCUUUUUUUAUAAGCAGCCAUAAUUGCAGGUGAAAUCUGUUUUGUUUUUGUUUUUUUUUUUUGGUGCUUUUGCCUUCUGUUUUUUCUCCCAUUAUUCUCAUCUUUUUGUCUUUUACUUCUGUGUCCUGGGAGAGCUCUAAAUGUUGAUGCUAUUGUCUGUGGUGUCCAUUCCGCAGCCAAGGUGAGGAAUGAAGCCUUUGAUUCUAUUUGACAUUUGGUUUCUUUUUGAUCCUUCUUCUUCCAAUCAUCAUUGUCAUCUCUUCACAGUUUCUGCAGCUGUUCCAGAGAGAUCAUAUAUAUUUGCAUGCUUAUUGUCAAAUUAUUUUCUUCUUGUUACCUUGGUAAAUAAUGUUUAGAAGGCUUCCACUGAAUGGCAUUCCUCAGAAGGACAUUUCUUUCCUCUUGACCUAGAGCAAUUUUUAGUAGGCUGUGUUUGAUCUUGUUUAUUCUUAAUUCAAGAGACAUCUCAGCAGAUCCAGUAUUUGCCGACAGGGGAGGUGGCCUCCUGUUCCUCUCCUUUCUCCCUGCCUGCAUGGGGAUGGUCCAACCCCUCUCAGACCCAUAGCUGGAGAGUUGGUGGACUUCAAGAUCCCUCCCAGUGUUCCGCAGUGUGCAUCCACUGGACUGAGGCAGGGUUUUCCCCAAUACCUUCGGGGUUUCUGCCACUGUGAACAAAUAGGGACAACAAGCUCCCCAGGCUGUAGGAUUGUGAGGCCUCUUAGCAUCCCUUCUGAACCUCCACCACCCAUCCCCACUGUUAUGGUCAAAUUAUAUCCGCAGAAAUUCUUACUGAAGUCCUAACUUCCAGGACCUCAGAAUGUGACCUUGUUUGGGAAUAGAGUGUUACAGUUGUAAUUUUGUUAAGAUGAGGUCAUCAUGGAGUAGGGUGGGCCCCUGAUCAGGUAUAACUGGUAUCCUUAUGAAAAGGGGAAAUUUGGGCACAGAAACCCACACGAGGAGAAUGUCAUGCGAAGACACAGGCAGGGAUGGGGGUGAUGCCUUUCCACACCAAGGAAGUCCAAGGACGGCCUACAACCACUAAAACCCAGGGGAGAAGCAUGGCACGGUUUCUCACAACCUGAAGAAGAAACCAACGCUGCCAGCACCUUGAUCUUGGACUUCGGG